rnacentral:tRNA from 1 species
UCCCAGGUGUCUCAGUGGUAAAGAAUCUGCCUGUCAGUGCAGGAGACCCAGGUUCUAUCCCUGGGUUGGGCA